CCUACGGGUGGCAGCAGUGGGGAAUAUUGGACAAUGGGCGAAAGCCUGAUCCAGCCAUGCCGCGUGUGUGAAGAAGGCCUUCGGGUUGUAAAGCACUUUCAGUGGGGAAGAAAGCCUUGGGGCUAAUACCCUCGAGGAAGGACAUCACCCACAGAAGAAGCACCGGCUAACUCCGUGCCAGCAGCCGCGGUAAUACGGAGGGUGCGAGCGUUAAUCGGAAUUACUGGGCGUAAAGCGCGCGUAGGCGGUCUGAUAAGCCGGUUGUGAAAGCCCCGGGCUCAACCUGGGAACGGCAUCCGGAACUGUCAGGCUAGAGUGCAGGAGAGGAAGGUAGAAUUCCCGGUGUAUCGGUGAAAUGCGUAGAGAUCGGGAGGAAUACCAGUGGCGAAGGCGGCCUUCUGGACUGACACUGACGCUGAGGUGCGAAAGCGUGGGUAGCAAACAGGAUUAGAUACCCUAGUAGUC
rnacentral:rRNA from 1 species